rnacentral:rRNA from 1 species
AUUGAACGCUGGCGGCAUGCUUUACACAUGCAAGUCGAACGGUAACAGGCCGCAAGGUGCUGACGAGUGGCGAACGGGUGAGUAAUGCAUCGGAACGUGCCCAGUCGUGGGGGAUAACGCAGCGAAAGCUGCGCUAAUACCGCAUACGAUCUAUGGAUGAAAGCGGGGGACCGUAAGGCCUCGCGCGAUUGGAGCGGCCGAUGUCAGAUUAGGGAUUUGGUGGGGUAAAGGCUCAACAAGCCGACGAUCUGUAGCUGGUCUGAGAGGACGACCAGCCACACUGGGACUGAGACACGGCCCAGACUCCUACGGGAGGCAGCAGUGGGGAAUUUUGGACAAUGGGCGCAAGCCUGAUCCAGCAAUGCCGCGUGCAGGAAGAAGGCCUUCGGGUUGUAAACUGCUUUUGUACGGAACGAAACGGCUCUGGUUAAUACCUGGGGCUAAUGACGGUACCGUAAGAAUAAGCACCGGCUAACUACGUGCCAGCCGCCGCAGUAACAC